CAAGCGUCAAAAUUCUAACCUCAAUCAGUCAUAAUAAAAGAAUUACCAAUGAAGAGGACCAGUUAUGGAAAAAUAUGCAAAUAUUUUCAAGGAAUUGAUAUAAGUGUUUGCGAAUGCGGUCGAGCACCUAUCUUCACUUGUUAACCUACACGCUUAACCGUGAAUGGACCCAUUUUUAUUACUAUAUCCUUUAUUACGAAGAGAAGGUUUCCUUUCGAUUUCGCGACAAUCUUGAGCAGCACCUCUUAACUUUUAUUACUCACACAGCAAUCACAUAUGUAUUACACACGCACACACACAUUCAAUCGCAGACGUACGCACUAGUGGCAUGACGUGCUUAGUGGUGAAGACAGAUACUAGCGGACUCGUAGCGGAAUCGCGCGGUAUCCCUCAUUUAUUUCCAGAGACAGAGUAUCGUAUACUACUUUUUUCGAUCUCGUAGGGCCAUGUGAAGGCUGAAGAGAAUAAAUAAGUUUAAUGGAGUCACACCGGAACUGUG